CCUUCGAUAGCUCAGUUGGUAGAGCGGUGGACUGUAGAUGGUAAAUCGCAAUGGCAGAGAUCCAUAGGUCGCUGGUUCAAAUCCGGCUCGAAGGA
rnacentral:tRNA from 1 species